rnacentral:rRNA from 1 species
UACGUAGGGUGCGAGCGUUAAUCGGAAUUACUGGGCGUAAAGCGUGCGCAGGCGGUCUGUUAAGACCGAUGUGAAAUCCCCGGGCUUAACCUGGGAACUGCAUUGGUGACUGGCAGGCUUUGAGUGUGGCAGAGGGGGGUAGAAUUCCACGUGUAGCAGUGAAAUGCGUAGAGAUCAGGAGGAACACCCAUGGCGAAGGCAGCCUCCUGGGCUAGUACUGACGCUCAUGCACGAAAGCGUGGGGGAGCAAACAGG